rnacentral:rRNA from 1 species
UACGGGGGGUGCGAGCGUUGUCCGGAAUCACUGGGCGUAAAGGGCGCGUAGGUGGUCUGAUAAGGGUGUGGUGAAAGCCCGGGGCUCAACCCCGGGUCGGCCGUGCCGACUGUUGGACUAGAGUGCUGUAGGGGCAGGCGGAAUUCCGGGUGUAGCGGUGGAAUGCGUAGAGAUCCGGAGGAAGACCGGUGGCGAAGGCGGCCUGCUGGGCAGUUACUGACACUGAGGCGCGAAAGCGUGGGGAGCGAACAGG